ACAUGCAAGUCGAACGAGAAAGCCGAAAGCUUGUUUUGGCGAGUAGAGUGGCGCACGGGUGAGUAACGCGUGGGUAAUCUGCCUUCGAACCGGGGAUAACACUUCGAAAGGGGUGCUAAUACCGGAUGACAUCCAGGUGUCUUCGGGCGCCUGGAUCAAAGAUGGCCUCUCCAUGGAAGCUGUUGUUCGAAGAUGAGCCCGCGUCCCAUUAGCUUGUUGGUGGGGUAAAGGCCCACCAAGGCGACGAUGGGUAGCUGGUCUGAGAGGAUGAUCAGCCACACUGGCACUGACACACGGGCCAGACUCCUACGGGAGGCAGCAGUGAGGAAUUUUGCGCAAUGGGGGUAACCCUGACGCAGCAACGCCGCGUGAGUGAUGAAGGCCUUCGGGUCGUAAAGCUCUGUCGAGUGGGAAGAACCUGCAUUGGAGAUAAUAUUCCGAUGCAUUGACGGUACCACUGGAGGAAGCACCGGCUAACUCCGUGCCAGCAGCCGCGGUAAUACGGAGGGUGCAAGCGUUAUUCGGAAUCAUUGGGCGUAAAGGGCACGUAGGCGGUUUGCUGGGUCGGAUGUGAAAUCCCGGGGCUUAACCCCGGAAGUGCAUUCGAAACUGGCAGACUUGAGUAUGGGAGAGGGAAGCGGAAUUCCUGGUGUAGAGGUGAAAUUCGUAGAUAUCAGGAGGAACACCGGUGGCGAAGGCGGCUUCCCUGGACCAAUACUGACGCUGAGGUGCGAAGGCUUGGGGAGCAAACAGGAUUAGAUACCCUGGUAGUCCACGCAGUAAACGGUGAACACUAGGUGUAGCGGGUAUUGACCCCUGCUGUGCCGGAGUUAACGCAUUAAGUGUUCCGCCUGGGGAGUACGGCCGCAAAGGUUAAAAACUCAAAGGAAUUGACCGGGGGCCCGCACAAGCGGUGGAGCAUGUGGUUUAAUUCGACGCAAACGCGAAGAACCUUACCUGGGUUUGACAUCCCGGGAAUCCGUAUGAAAGUAUGGAGUGCCCUUCGGGGAGCCCGGAGACAGGUGCUGCAUGGCUGUCGUCAGCUCGUGUCGUGAGAUGUUGGGUUAAGUCCCGCAACGAGCGCAACCCUUGUCUUCAGUUGCCAGCGAUUCGGUCGGGGACUCUGGAGAUACUGCCCCGGUUAACGGGGAGGAAGGUGGGGAUGACGUCAAGUCCUCAUGGCCUUUAUGCCCAGGGCUACACACGUGCUACAAUGGUCUGUACAAAGGGUGCGAACCUGCGAAGCAAGCCAAUCCCAAAAAGCAGGCCUCAGUUCGGAUUGGAGUCUGCAACUCGACUCCAUGAAGUUGGAAUCGCUAGUAAUCGCGGAUCAGCAUGCCGUGGUGAUACGUUCCCGGGCCUUGUACACACCGCCCGUCACACCAUGAGAGUUGGCUGUACCCGAAGUCG
rnacentral:rRNA from 1 species